UAUAACAACACAUAUCAUUGAUUUUCUUGAUUAAACAUGUGUGAAUAGAGACUUAUGGAUAUGCCAAACUGAAAUUCCGGCCAUGUCAGGAAGUCAGUGUGCAGUCUUAGAAAGAAGUACAGAGCACGUGUUUUGUUCGUUACAUAUCAAAGAAACUACUUUUCUAUGCACAGAAUGUAGGCAAUUUAUUUGUGAUAAAUGCGUGGAAUCAGUACACGCAAGGCAUGCCUUAAAGUCAAUUCCAAGAACAAAUAACAAUAUACUUUUCAAUGAAAUGCUUCAACAACAUUUUAAACUAUAUAAGGACGUAUGGCAGGUUGAAUUGGAAGAUCAGUUGAAAGUAAUUGAUCUUCGUGCAGCAAAACUGGAAGAAAUUAUUAAUAAAGUAAGAGAUUCCUACAAGGAUGCGGUUAUCCAGAAUAAUACAAAGAACAAGUUAAGUCUUCAGGAGAUCGAAGAAGAGUGUAACAACAAUAUACCACCUACAUUAUCGUUGAUACAAACAAUUUUUACACCCUCAAAAAUAGAUAUACUUGGAAUAAAGCGAGAGUUUGGUAAACUGUGUGCAAAUGAAACAAAUGUUAAUCUUCAGCCAGGAUUCAGCUGGCCAAGUUUAUUUCAAGUGAAAAAUCUGUCAACAGAAGGUCAACACGAUUUUGUCUAUCGUGGUAUGUCAUCUGAUUUUGAAGACGAAAAUCAUCGUUGUGAUUCAUAAAAGACUUUUUGUAUUUUUUGGUAACAAGUGAUAUCUUAAUUUGAUUUUUGAAUUAUCAAACUGAAUAUCGUUUAACAAUUAUGAGUAAUUAAUAAGUAAGUAACUUGUUUAUUAUAGAAAUCUCUGAAAAUGUCUCAAUAAAUAUUUUGUUUCGUUAUUAUGAA